GCCUACGGCGAUCCGCUGGCCGUAUUCGGCGCUGACCCACGGGGAUAUUUCCGACGGGUCAAUCCGCUCUCGAUAAUAAGUGUUCUUUGAAUGAAUUAUAAUUUUGUUGGUUAUUGUUAAUAAUUAAUAUUUGUAUUUUGUCAAUGAAUCGGCACUAUCGACAGACAUUUUCCUCGGAACAAUACAAUACACAAUACUCGGCCAAAUUAGCGUUUUUUACACAUGUUUUUUCAUGAUGCGUUUAUCCAUUCGUAUACUCCUAUAUCGGAUUCA